rnacentral:lncRNA from 8 species
AUUCAUUCUAAUAAAUUAUAUUCUAAUAAAUUAUAUUCCAUUCUACUCUAAUCCAUUCUAUUCUAAUACAUUCUAUUCCAUUCUAAUACAUUAUAUUCUAUUCUAAUCAAUUCUAUUCUAAUAAAUUCUAUUCCAUUCUACUCUAUUCCAUUCUAUUCUAAUACAUUCUAUUCCAUUCUAAUAAAUUAUAUUCUAAUAAAUUCUACUGUAUUCCAUUCUAAUAAAUUAUAUUCUAAUAAAUUCUACUCUAUUCCAUGGUUUAUCAAUAUUUACUACAUAUCAAUAUUAGGGGACAUUCCUACAGUACUGAAGUAACACAGUCUAGCCUACUCAACAAGCGUCAAAAGUCCUGGAAAAUGCCUAUGGAAUGAAAUGUAAAUGUUAUAUGGGAACAGACAUUAUUGACAGGGAAAACGGCUGGUCUAUUUGACACAUUUGGGAACUCUCUUUUCUUUUAUUCUUUCUCGCUCUGAGUAAAGACAACGCCUUCUUCCGUCUCCAUCGAAACUUGACAAGAAAAAGUUACCUGGGCCAACCUGCUGGGCAGGGGAGAAAGGAGUAGUCUAAUGGCGGUUGUAUAACAUCGCUGAUUAGACUACAAAACAUAUUUUCAGAACUUAUCAUAGUAUUGUAAUAAGUUGGGAAACAUGGACAGCAUCGAGUUACAGCCGGUUCGAUGCCCUGUAAGCCUUGACAACAACAAUCACCACGCUGAAAAUACCUCUAAGCAACAGAUGACUUCAGGUAAUAGACCCAGGCUGACCACCAAUGAUGCAGCAGAGGAAGGAAACCCCUUGCUUUCUCCUGAACAGGUGGGUCAUCACUGCCAUUUGGUGGCUGAAUUACUUUCUCCCUCAACAACACAGUGGCCUUUUUAUAUACAGCACAGGGGAAAAUAUGUCUAGCCUACUGUUGGAAGGACUACUGUCUAAUUGUAACCACAGCCACAUCCUCACUGUCAUAAGUGUCAUUGUAGCAGUGACAGUACAGUGACAGUAGCAGUGACAGUACAGUGACAGUAGCAGUGACAGUAGCAGUGAUAGUAGCAGUGACAGUAGCAGUGAUAGUAGCAGUGACAGUACAGUGACAGGAGCAGUGAUAGUAGCAGUGACAGUAGCAGUGAUAGUAGCAGUGACAGUAGCAGUGACAGUACAGUGAUAGUAGCAGUGAUAGUAGCAGUGACAGUAGCAGUGAUAGGACAGUGACAGUACAGUGAUAGUAGCAGUGAUAGUAGCAGUGACAGUAGCAGUGAUAGGACAGUGACAGUACAGUGAUAGUAGCAGUGA